AUAUCUGGCUAGAAAGGAACGUGUGGUUUUAAUCCCUAACUUUGUUACUCACUCUCUCUUUCAGGCUAUCAGACAUAUCUGGCUAGAAAGGAACGUGUGGUUUUAAUCCCUAACUUUGUUACUCACUCUCUCUUUCAGGCUAUCAGACAUAUCUGGCAAGGAAGGGACGAGCACCAACAAUACUGGAGCCAUAUCGUUUCUUCAUUCCCUCUUGCCUUCUGCUGAACAACAAGAGGCGGCUGCAGACUUGGCCCGAGAGAUGUAUGAGCCAGAUGAACCUGCUGGACAGAUUCAGUUCAGUUUGGAGUAUGACAUCUACUCUUCUCUUCUUACCUUGAAGAUUAUCCAAGCCAAAGGGUUGCCGGCUAAAGACAUCACAGGCACCAGCGACCCCUAUGUGAGAAUUUGUCUGCUUCCAGACAAAAAGCACAAACUCGAGACCAAAGUUAAACAUCGAACUCUUAGCCCUCGUUGGAACGAAACAUUUUACUUUGAGGGUAAGUUAACGUCUUUUUUGUAUGUUCAUAUUA